AGUGAACGCUGGCGGUAGGCCUAACACAUGCAAGUCGAACGGCAGCACAGUAAGAGCUUGCUCUUACGGGUGGCGAGUGGCGGACGGAUGAGGAAUACAUCGGAAUCUACUUUUUCGUGGGGGUUAACGUAGGGAAACUUACGCUAAUACCGCAUACGACCUACGGGUGAAAGCAGGGGAUCUUCUGACCUUGCGCGAUUGAAUGAGCCGAUGUCGGAUUAGCUAGUUGGCGGGGUAAAGGCCCACCAAGGCGACGAUCCGUAGCUGGUCUGAGAGGAUGAUCAGCCACACUGGAACUGAGACACGGUCCAGACUCCUACGGGAGGCAGCAGUGGGGAAUAUUGGACAAUGGGCGCAAGCCUGAUCCAGCCAUACCGCGUGGGUGAAGAAGGCCUUCGGGUUGUAAAGCCCUUUUGUUGGGAAAGAAAAGCAGCAGGUUAAUACCCCGCUGUUCUGACGGUACCCAAAGAAUAAGCACCGGCUAACUUCGUG
rnacentral:rRNA from 1 species